GGGGAAUUUUGCGCAAUGGGGGCAACCCUGACGCAGCGACGCCGCGUGGGUGAUGAAGGCCUUCGGGUUGUAAAGCCCUGUCUGGGGGGAAGAUAGUGACGGUACCCCCGGAGGAAGCCCCGGCUAACUACGUGCCAGCAGCCGCGGUAAGACGUGGGGGGCGAGCGUUGUCCGGAAUUAUUGGGCGUAAAGGGCGUGUAGGCGGCUUUUCAAGUCAGCUGUGAAAUUCCCCGGCUCAACCGGGGGCCUGCAGUUGAAACUGGGGAGCUUGAGUGCAGGAGAGGAGGGUGGAAUUCCUGGUGUAGCGGUGAAAUGCGUAGAUAUCAGGAGGAACACCGGUGGCGAAGGCGACCUUCUGGCCUGUUACUGACGCUGAGGCGCGAGAGCCGGGGGAGCGAAC
rnacentral:rRNA from 1 species